CCUACGGGAGGCAGCAGUGAGGAAUAUUGGUCAAUGGCCGGAAGGCUGAACCAGCCAAGUCGCGUGAGGGAAUAAGGCCCUAUGGGUCGUAAACCUCUUUUGUCAGGGAGCAAAGGCGUCCACGAGUGGACGAAAGGAGAGUACCUGAAGAAAAAGCAUCGGCUAACUCCGUGCCAGCAGCCGCGAUAAUACGGAGGAUGCGAGCGUUAUCCGGAUUUAUUGGGUUUAAAGGGUGCGUAGGCGGAGUGUCAAGUCAGCGGUAAAAUUUCGGGGCUCAACCCCGUCGUGCCGUUGAAACUGACACCCUUGAGUGAGUGAGAAGUAAGCGGAAUGCGUGGUGUAGCGGUGAAAUGCGUAGAUAUUAGGAGGAACACCAGUGGCGAAGGCGGCCUGCUGGACGAUGACUGACGUUGAGGCUCGAAAGCGUGGGGAGCAAACAGGAUUAGAUACCCUUGUAGUC
rnacentral:rRNA from 1 species